AUUGAACGCUGGCGGCAUGCCUUACACAUGCAAGUCGAACGGCAGCACGGGGGCAACCCUGGUGGCGAGUGGCGAACGGGUGAGUAACAUAUCGGAACAUACCCUAGAGUGGGGGAUAACGUAGCGAAAGUUACGCUAAUACCGCAUACGAUCUAAGGAUGAAAGUGGGGGAUCUUCGGACCUCAUGCUCAUGGAGUGGCCGAUAUCUGAUUAGCUAGUUGGUGAGGUAAAGGCUCACCAAGGCGACGAUCAGUAGCUGGUUUGAGAGAACGACCAGCCACACUGGAACUGAGACACGGUCCAGACUCCUACGGGAGGCAGCAGUGGGGAAUUUUGGGACAAUGGGGGCAACCCUGAUCCAGCAAUGCCGCGUGAGUGAAGAAGGCCUCGG
rnacentral:rRNA from 1 species